UACGUAGGUGGCAAGCGUUGUCCGGAUUUACUGGGCGUAAAGGGAGCGUAGGCGGAUAUUUAAGUGGGAUGUGAAAUACUCGGGCUUAACCUGGGUGCUGCAUUCCAAACUGGAUAUCUAGAGUGCAGGAGAGGAAAGUAGAAUUCCUAGUGUAGCGGUGAAAUGCGUAGAGAUUAGGAAGAAUACCAGUGGCGAAGGCGACUUUCUGGACUGUAACUGACACUGAGGCUCGAAAGCGUGGGGAGCAAACAGG
rnacentral:rRNA from 1 species